rnacentral:rRNA from 1 species
UACGUAGGGGGCGAGCGUUGUCCGGAUUUAUUGGGCGUAACGAGCGUGUAGGCGGCCAGGUAGGUCUGCUGUGAAAACUCGAGGCUCAACCUCGAGACGUCGGCGGAAACCAUCUGGCUAGAGUCCGGAAGAGGAGAGUGGAAUUCCUGGUGUAGCGGUGAAAUGCGCAGAUAUCAGGAAGAACACCCGUGGCGAAGGCGGCUCUCUGGGACGGUACUGACGCUGAGACGCGAAAGCGUGGGGAGCGAACAGG